UGGGGAAUUGUUCGCAAUGGGCGCAAGCCUGACGACGCAACGCCGCGUGGAGGAUGAAGAUCUUCGGGUCGUAAACUCCUUUCGAUCGAGACGAAUUCCUUCCGGGUGAACAAUCCGGAAGGUUGACGGUACCGAGAGAAGAAGCCCCGGCUAACUCCGUGCCAGCAGCCGCGGUAAUACGGGGGGGGCAAGCGUUGUUCGGAAUUACUGGGCGUAAAGGGCUCGUAGGCGGCCAACUAAGUCGGACGUGAAAUCCCUCGGCUUAACCGGGGAACUGCGUCCGAUACUGGAUGGCUUGAGUUCGGGAGAGGGAUGCGGAAUUCCAGGUGUAGCGGUGAAAUGCGUAGAUAUCUGGAGGAACACCGGUGGCGAAGGCGGCAUCCUGGACCGACACUGACGCUGAGGAGCGAAAGCCAGGGGAGCAAACGGGAUUAGAUACCCCUGUAGUCC
rnacentral:rRNA from 1 species